rnacentral:rRNA from 1 species
CCCUUAGACACUCUAGGCGGCACGCGCGCUACAAUGGGUGGACGACCGUGUUACUGCCUUCGAAAGAAGGGGUGAAUCACGAAUUCUUACCCGUGAAUGGGAUAGUUUGUUGCAAUUUUCGGACUUGAACUAGGAAUCCCUUGUAAGCAUGCUCAAGAAUAGCGUGUUGAAUACGUCCCUGCCCUUUGUACACACCGCCCGUCGCACCUACCGAUUGAAUGGUCCGGUGAAGCCUCGGGAUUGUGGCCAGUUCACUUUAUUGGGAGUUGGCUGCGAGAACUUGUCUAAACCUUAUCAUUUAGAGGAAGGUGAAGUCGUAACA